GACGAACGCUGGCGGCGUGCUUAACACAUGCAAGUCGAACGGAAAGGCCCUGCUUUUGUGGGGUGCUCGAGUGGCGAACGGGUGAGUAACACGUGAGUAACCUGCCCUUGACUUUGGGAUAACUUCAGGAAACUGGGGCUAAUACCGGAUAGGAUCUCCUGCCGCAUGGUGGGGGCUGGAAAGUUUCGGCGGUUGGGGAUGGACUCGCGGCUUAUCAGCUUGUUGGUGGGGUAGUGGCUUACCAAGGCUUUGAGGGGUAGCCGGCCUGAGAGGGUGACCGGCCAAGUUGGGCCGGAGAUACGGCCCAGCCUCCUACGUGAGGCAACAGUGGAGAAUAUUGCACAAUGGGAGGAAGCAUAGUGCAGCAACGCAGCGUGCGGGAUGACAGCCUUCGGUUUGUAAUCCAAUUUCGCCUGUGACGAAGCGUGAGUGACGGUAAUGGGUAAAGAAGCACCGGCUAACUACGUG
rnacentral:rRNA from 1 species